rnacentral:tRNA from 1 species
AUUCCCAUGGUGCAAUAGAAGCAUACUUGUCUUUUUGACAAGAGAUCCGGGUUCGAACCCUAGUGGGUAUA